AGAUUGAACGCUGGCGGCAUGCCUUACACAUGCAAGUCGAACGGCAGCACGGGAGCAAUCCUGGUGGCGAGUGGCGAACGGGUGAGUAAUAUAUCGGAACGUGCCCAGUCGUGGGGGAUAACGCAGCGAAAGCUGUGCUAAUACCGCAGUACGAUCUC
rnacentral:rRNA from 1 species